rnacentral:piRNA from 1 species
UAGAGAAGCUGGGGAUGAUAUUACUU